rnacentral:other from 1 species
AAAUACCUGAAAUGUUCGUUGGUUCAGUAAUCUUAAGCCUCAAUUUACAUUGGGGAGCCCGGGUAUUAAAUUGGAAAUCGGGCUGGCACAGACCAGAGGGUUGAAGCAGGAAUCAGGGCACCCACCUGUCCGGCGGCAGGUUUUAAGAUUAUGGCUGACGGCAUUUCGGGGAACUC